rnacentral:rRNA from 1 species
GAUGAACGCUGGCGGCAUGCCUAAUACAUGCAAGUCGAGCGAACAGAUGAGGAGCUUGCUCCUCUGACGUUAGCGGCGGACGGGUGAGUAACACGUGGAUAACCUACCUAUAAGACUGGGAUAACUUCGGGAAACCGGAGCUAAUACCGGAUAAUAUAUUGAACCGCAUGGUUCAAUAGUUAAAGACGGUUUUGCUGUCACUUAUAGAUGGAUCCGCGCCGGAUUAGCUAGUUGGUAAGGUAACGGCUUACCAAGGCUACGAUGCGUAGCCGACCUGAGAGGGUGAUCGGCCACACUGGAACUGAGACACGGCCCAGACUCCGACGGGAGGAAGCAGUAGGGAAUCUUCCGCAAUGGGCGAAUGCCUGACGGAGCAACGCCGCGUGAGUGAUGAAGGUCUUCGGAUCGUAAAACUCUGUUAUUAGGGAAGAACAAAUGUGUAAGUAACUAUGCACGUCUUGACGGUACCUAAUCAGAAAGCCACGGCUAACUACGUG